rnacentral:snoRNA from 1 species
GCAGUGAUGACACUCCCAAAAAAGCAUGUGUUAGACUGCUGAUGU